GGGUUAUUUGGGGAUAUGAUGCUGUAAUUGAUGACCGUGGUGGAAGCUGAAUUAGUGAGGAUGACUCCUGCUCCUGUCAUCUCUAAGCUCCUCACACAUCUUUACCUGCACAUGAGGAAAAUCACUCCUGUAGAAUGCAGAUGUUCAGAGGGAGAUGAUGCCACAUCUGGUCCAGCUGAUGGAAGGUCUUGAAGUUCUCUGACUGGCCUCGACUGAAGAUGGUCCUCUCACUAUGUUUAAGGUUCAGAUGCUCAGUAACAAACUCCAACAAUGUGCCAACAGGGAAGCUUUAGGUUUAAUUAAAUGUUGUUAUGAAGGUAUCGCUGUUUUUCUUUGUGAAUGCAAUGUGCUCCAACUGAAACUUGAAUUAGAACUUAGAAGUAAAUCCUUCCAUCUGAAAGGAUUUAGUUGCAUUAAUAACCUCAUAACAUUCUAAUUUUUAUUCCAGUCUUGGUUGGAAAUAGAAUCUCUGUAUUGAUUCAGGUAAAAACUGAACUUCACCGCAUGUUGGAGCAAAACAACCAGAUGAAAACUGUGAUGUUGUUGGAUUGUCAGACCGUAAUGUUGCAGCUCAAAGCAGCUUUUCUAUCUCAGUUCAUUCUGACAUUCAGCUAUGAAUCAACACAGCAGAUGGUGAUCCAUGCUGUGGAAGUCUCACAUCUCCUGAUUUAAUGGCGCUGCUUUGCACUUUUUACGCUGUUUAUUCACCAACACUUUAUUUAAUAAAAGUCCCAUCUAGUUUUUAUGAGGAAAGUGAUGUUUUAAUUUCUCUGUGAAUAACUGCAGUCUAAUGCAACAGCUGGAGUUGUAACAUCUGUCCUGAUAUUGAUCAUGAAGUAUUGAUCAGAAUACUUAUGGUUAGCAGUCAUCCCUGAAGUUUUACAUUAAAAUCUUUACUUGUGUUGUGAACUUUGGUAAGAAGCAGAAACUUUUACGUUGCCAUGGAUACAUAAGUGUUAAAUUCUGUCCAUGUUUCCAUUUUGGGAAAUUCAGUCCAGUUCCAGAAUGUGGAGGAAUUUAGUCUCAAUCACAGACAACAAAUAUUAUCUGAAAGUUGAGUUAUUGUUGUUUAUCAGCAUAAUAUAAAAAGAUUAAUGUUAGAAAUAUUCCAGUUAAGACUCUAGAAUAUCAUGAUUUAUGUAAAUUUACCUCAAUAAUAUAAAUGUUCAGGUUAAGAUUGUACAGUGAUAUUUAUUAUGCAAGUUUAGCUGUUUAAAGUUUAUGACUCUGCACUAAAAUAUUAUUUAAACUGACAUCAUUAUUAUAAUAUUUAGGGUCAGACCCUACUGUAUUGAGAUUAAGAAAUCAAAUAUUCUAUAAAAUGUAAAUACACUGAACUCAUUGGGAUAUAUUUAAGUGAGACUCUACAAUAUUAUUUGACACAAAUCUAUCUAAAUCAAAAUUUUAAUCAUUUUUACUUCAAACAUUUACUGGACUGAUUUAAACAUUAAAAUCACUCCUUUCUAAUCCUCUGCUGUACGUUCAAAACUGAGGCCUUAAAUAGAAACACACAAGUAUCUGAUUGAAGGAACUUCUGCAGAGUCCUGGUUCCAGAACACGAUGAUAGAAUUAUAGACAAACUUUAACAAAAGCUGCCUGAGAGUUUACAGGUUUUCAUGUUAGAUUUCUUCAGUAAUUUAAUGAGAGUUAUCAGCAAAAAUCAAGUGUUCAUUUGAUGAACUUCAUUUCCUAAAACAUCCAGAAUUGGAGCUCAUAUCUUUGACAGCUGUAAAGUUUCUGCUCCUUCAAAGUUCACAACACGAGUGAAUUAAUUCCUAAAACACUCUCAAUGCUGGAGAGCGUUUGUGAUGCUGAAGCAGUGAUCAGUUUUUCUGUUUCUUCUCUGGAGAUGGACAAAGAGGGACAUCUGCAGAGACUGAGAAAGAGUCUCACCUCAUCCUGACAUGAGGAAAAAGACUUUAUUGAAGACUACAAUGAGAAAAACUAUCAGACAGCAGACGGCUGCAUUCAAGAGAGGAAGACCAUCAAACAUCCACAUCAGCUGAUGGAGAUCCAAGAGUCUCACCGAACAAACAACCUACAGAGUGAAGACCUCAAAUCUGAUUGGACGGCCUCCUAUUCAGCCACGUGUCUCAACAAAUGCCUCUAAGUUGAUUUGUUUUCUAAAAUAAAUCUAGUUUGAGUCCUAAUCUAUGCCUGUGUGUUUG
ensembl:lncRNA